GCCGGGUGUGAUGGUGUGCACCUGUAAUCCCAGCUCCUCGGGAGGCUGAGGCAGGAGAAUCGCUUGAACCCAGGAGGUGGAGGUUGCAGUGAGCCGAGAUUGCGCCACUGCACUCCACCCUGGGUAACAGAGUGAGACUCUGUCUCAA
rnacentral:sRNA from 1 species